CGAAGUAUAGCAUAUAUAAUGCUUUUUACUUACACUAAAAAAAUAGUUAAAACUUGCUUCGC
rnacentral:tRNA from 1 species